GUGAAGGGAGGAAGAAUUGAGGGGAGGCUGCUGAGGAUCCUAGGCUGCUCCUCGUGGGAACCCUGUGGUGGGCCAGGUGGCUGAGGGUGGGGACUUUUCAGGAGAGGGUCUACAUGGGCUCUACUUGAGAGCAAGGGCUCAUCCCACCCGCACCCCGAUGUCACAGGGUGUCUUCCCCUAUCUUGGCAAUCUGCUCAGUGACCUGCUGAUGCUGCAACUGGCGAUGGUUGACUAUCUCGAGGGGAAUGAGAUCAACCUUGAGAAGAGGACUGAGGAGCAGCUGUGGCACUCCCUGCAGGGGAGGGGAAAGAGGAAUACCGAGUCAUGAGGAAGAUCCUGCUGCUCCAGGAGGCUGCCAAGAAUUACAACCUAGAACCCGAGGGAGCGAUUUGCGGCCUGGCUCCAGGACAUGCAGUUGCUCAACGAGAAUGAGAGGUCAAAGACCAAGGGAAGAGGUCAUCAAGAGGUCAAGUCUAAUCUACCUAUGGAUGUGGCAGCCUUAACUAUGGAUGUUCAAACCAGACAUUGCCAGCAGAACCACAUCUCUUCACCCAUAGGGCAACAACAUUAUGUUCCCCAGUCUCUGUACUGUAUGUUACUGCACAGCACGGACUGUAAGAGAAAGCCCAGAGAAGCAAUGAAGACAAAGAAGACAUGACACCUGCAAAAAGUCAGUGGAGUAUUUCUACAUAACAAACCUUCCAGGUGAGUGAUGGUCAGUAUCUUCCACUGCUCCAGCUCUCCCAAGAAACCUAGAACCUCCCCAGGGUAAGCUGGAGGACCAUGCCCGACUAAUCCACUCCCUGCAUGGGGCCGGUUUGUGCAGGGUGACUGCCAUCAAGCAGAAAAUGGACUCAGGAUGGGGCGUGUGCCUUUGGAGAGGCUGGCAGAGAGGCACAAAGUGGAACACCAGCUAAGUGCACACACCUGAGAGGCGGAGUUCCAGGUGGAGACUCAAAAUGUACCAAGAAACUGUGUGAAGUGAAGGAAGCUACUCAACCUCUCUGAGCCUCAGUGUCCCCCCCCUGUAAAAUGGGGAUCACAGGCCUACUUCACAGAGCUGUUGGGGAAGAUACAUAAAAGUGUCUGUUAGAAUCAGUGUCACAUUAUUAACAAAGUCGUCUCUGACUUCAGAAAAUCGAUGAAAAGAAUAAUGUUGAUGACCAAAGAUGAGAUGCCCAGCUUCGUAAGCAGCCCCAGCAGCACGAGAAUGAGAGGAGCUCCGACUAAGCAGGGUUCUUCACAGCUCCACUGGAGAGGAUAAACAUGGGCUACACCAGGAUAAGGGGCUGUUGUACAGUGACUUGUGUAGUGAGAGUGGGUCCCUAAAGACACUGUGAAAUAGAGUUACACACAGUGGCUCCUAGGAAACAACUACAAAGCAAUCAACACAGCGGAUAGGCGUGGGAAUGGGGCAAGCAGAGGAGGGUCAGAGCGACAAAAUCUGAUGGAAGACACUGAACCACGAUGAGUUCCCAGCUCUGUCAACAGCUGCUGUGGUUGCGCCAGGAGAUCAAACGCC